GACGAACGCUGGCGGCGUGCUUAACACAUGCAAGUCGAGCGGUAAGGCCCUUUCGGGGGUACACGAGCGGCGAACGGGUGAGUAACACGUGGGUGACCUGCCCUUAGCUCUGGGAUAAGCCUGGGAAACUGGGUCUAAUACCGGAUAUGACUCCAUGACGCAUGUUGUGGGGUGGAAAGCCUUGUGCGGCUAGGGAUGGGCCCGCGGCCUAUCAGCUUGUUGGUGGGGUGAGGCCUACCAAGGCGACGACGGGUAGCCGGCCUGAGAGGGCGACCGGCCACACUGGGACUGAGACACGGCCCAGACUCCUACGGGAGGCAGCAGUGGGGAAUCUUGCGCAAUGGGCGAAAGCCUGACGCAGCGACGCCGCGUGGGGAUGACGGCCU
rnacentral:rRNA from 1 species